GCACGGUCGACCCCUCUCCCAAAUCUCAUGCAUGCGCGCUCUCCCCAAAUCCCCCAAAGUCCUUCGUGCUCUACCGCCUCGCGUCCUCUACUCCUCUCCCAAAUCUCAUACAGAGCCGCGCGCCGCUACCCGCCCAGUACUUCUCUCCCAAAUCCAUCCCACCUCCUCCGUCCGCUACUCACCAGGAGCCGCCGGCCGCCAUGUCCAGGAGCCGCGCCGCUGCCCGCCCGCUGUUCCUGUUCCAAAUCCACCCUGUGUCGCACCCGCCUGCCAUUCACCGGAGCGGGAGACCGGGCAGCCCCGUCGGCCGCGGUGUCCGGGAGCCGCCGCAUCGACCCACGGGAGAGCAGGAGGCACACCACCCACUGCUCGAGCUGCAAGAAACGCUGGACCCGUAGGAGGCUGCGGGCCGCGAGAGCGCGUGAGGGACCUGCGGGAGCCGGGGCGUGCCUUGUGCUCGCAUCCGUGCGGGGGACCUCCCAGGAGGAGCAGAUGCUGCACAGUAUGGAACACAUCCAUUCGUGCGGGCGCAGAGCGCAUCGAUGGCGGCGGCCGCGAAGCCGCUUGGGGCCGCAUCGAUCCCCUUGUCUGCCUGACUGCCCGAGCCCUCAUCACGCUCCAUCUUUCAAUCUCCAUCAAGAUACUUACUGACAAGGAAUGAGGAGAACAAGGAAAAACGAUCUUGGUCAUGCACCUCUGGAAGAAAUGGCCAGUGUUCGAUCAUAUUUAGCUUGCCGAAGGACCAGCUGCAGUUGGCAAACAAUAUCUGUUCAAACUUGAUUAUACUGUAAACAAACUAGGUGCGAGCACAAAUGCCUGAUCGCAGAGGGAGGGCAUGCUUCUUUUGUCUACCAGUUCCAGCUCAUUGAAAUUGUGUUUCUUCUGAACUUCCUCGAGUUAAAACUAGGAUCUCCAAGAGGAUGCUUUAUAAGGAGUCAAGUGCUUAGCUGUGUUCUUGGUAUAUAUGUAGCUUUUUAGGUUGUGUUUAUAGGCUAGGUCUUCUCUGCAGUUAAGUCUUUUGGCGUUUCUGAGCGCCUUUUGGUGUUUACUGUGAUGGAAAAUUUGACUGUAUAUGCUUCUUGUAAUUUCUGGCUUAUAUGGAAUCCUUUGUCUGCAGUUCUGGGAAAACAUUGGACAACUAAUAUUUGUAUGGGGGAUCAAUGCCAAUGUUUGUAUGCUCAUAUUGAAUCUGUUGGCUUCAAAUGAAAACCAUCGGUCAAGUGUGUUUGUUUUGUAUUGUUUCAAAAAAUUGUUGUAUGAUCAAUGAGAGAUUAAUUAUAUUAUUUUCUAUGGAUUCUUAGCA